rnacentral:rRNA from 1 species
AACGAACGCUGGCGGCGUGCCUAACACAUGCAAGUCGUGCGAGAAAGUUCCUUCGGGAGCGAGUAAAGCGGCGCACGGGUGAGUAACACGUAGGUAACCUGCCCCCCAGUCUGGAACAACUAGAGGAAACUCUAGCUAAUGCCGGAUGAGACCACGAUCCCUUCGGGGGGUUGCGGCCAAAGAUGGCCUCUACUUGUAAGCUAUCGCUGAGGGAUGGGCCUGCGGGCCAUUAGCUUGUUGGUGAGGUAACGGCUCACCAAGGCUGUGAUGGCUAGCUGGUCUGAGAGAUGACCAGCCACACUGGGACUGAGACACGG